AGGGCGGGGCGGGGGGAGGGCGGCGGCGUCGCUCAGGGCUGUGCAAUCGGGCCCGGAGCCAUCGAGCGCCCGCCGCGGGCCUGGGAGGCCCCCGGGGAGCGCGGAGCCCCGGAGGGGCGGGAGCAGCAAGGCCGCGUGCGACAUUGGUUCAACCUCAGAGUUGGAAACUAAGAUUCCUCUCCACAGACUGGGUUCUCUGGGGCCAUCUUCUUUGAAGUGGUGCAAACUAUUGUGGGGAGGGAAUAAUGCCUGGGAUGCAUACGCGUAGGAGCCGAAAUCAUGUCUAGCCCUUAACGUAAGCUUGUAAUUCAUCUUCAGAUAGAUUCAACGUGUAAAGUUUAUGUGCAUACGUGAACAUCUGUAUUCAGUCAUGUAGAUGAUACCACUGAGGAGUAAUUCAAAGAGUGCACACAGAACUGCCUGAUAAGGUUUUGCUAUAGAUGCCAAGAGGCAGAGCACCAGGCUGCAUUACCGUAUAUGGACACUGGUUUCAUUUUUACUAAAUUGCCUGUGAUAAAGAAACAGGAGCAUUGAUGCAAGGACCUUUUACAAAAAAAGUUCUGCCAAUGGAUGUGGUAAUGAAGAAUACAUAAAUGCCUCAUACCUGAAGCAGAAAACUAUUUCCGUAAUGUAUUUCGCAGAUAACAACUCUGCAAACUCCUGCUGGUGUAAAGGUGUUAACCCCUGGUAUUGAAAAUAACGUACACCCCCAGGAAAGAGUUAUUUGCUCAGUUAACCUCAUUUUCAUCAGAAGAUGAGUUGCUGCUGCUCAGCAUAAAGCGGUUUGGCAUUCAACUUGUGAGAAAGGUCAACUGAACAAUUUAUAUUCAGAGACUGUUGGUGCUGUGGCGUUUUCCAUAAUGAACUCCAGAAAAACAAAGGCUGCUCUCUAUCUGACAGCCCUGAGGUAACGGAAGGACCUGGUAAUAUUUCUGAAGGACUGAUCGUGUUUAGCUCAGAAAAAAAUAAACCCAAAUCUAGAAUAAUUUUUGGAUUAUUGCUGUUAUGAUCGUUAUUACGCCUGUUACUCACUCCGUUGUGGUAACAGGCAGAUACCCACUCAAGAUUAGUAUCUCCUGAUGCUGAAUGUUAUGUGAGCACAGGGCAAGACGAAACACCAUCAGUAAGAAACACAGUCUUGCUCAGUUCUUCCCAAGAAUGAUCUCUCCCAACCCUCUCUCCAACGAUACCAGCUCUAAGUAAUGCCGUGUUAAUGCCCAACUCGUACGAAUCACUUGGAACAACGAGAGAUACUGGUGGAGGAUGCUCCUUCCAUCUCCGGGUACAUUGGCUGUAGGGUUGCUCUGUGCCAGCAGGGCCUCCAUGAGGCUUUAUAAUCCUCAGUGACUCUAGAGGAAGAGAAAAGAAUGUAUUCCUUCGAACUCAGUGGGUCUGUCUACGCAUGAGUAAGAAUCGCAGGACUAGGGGCCUGAUUUAAAGCAGAUGGAACAUCCCCAAAACUGCAGCAGCCCUUAGCAUCCAUGGCUGUCCAUCGGUGCUCCCUCAGUUGAGACAGUAACUAUGCAAGUGCUUCUAAUCCCAAAAGUGAAACAUUCGGAUCCCUGGAGUAGCUGCCUUCCCGAGGCUAGUUUUGCGCAGCUCUGGGUCUGCGUUUCUUUACCUGACCAUCAGCAAGUUGUUUACAGCCUUGGGGUCUUCAGUGCUGGCCUGUGCCCCAUCUCUUCUCGUCCAUCGCCUCUACGCUGCAGCUGGUGUCUUCUCAAGGUUGCUGCUCUUCUAACAGGCUGUGGCGGUGUGCUCUCCCCUUUCCCCCCCCCCGGCUCCUGCUCAAGCCAUGGCCAUCAGCGGGAGUUGUUAUGAGUUGCACUUGAACUGUGGGAGAUGGCUGGCAACAUAACCAAAACACUGUCUGGAGUGGGAACCUAGGUAUCUUGUUCCCAUGAGAAUAUGACUAUAGGUCAAUUCCCUUACUCCAUAAAUAGUGGACAGCCCAAGAGCCCUUUGAGCUCUCCUGCACGGCAGCGGGCUGCACGACAGGAUCUCCCCUUGAGUGGGGACACUCGCUUAAGGUUCUUCUCCUCGAGGUUGAGAGAUUCCUUGCUGCAACAGAUUCUCGGUAAGUGACUAAUAGCAUGCUAAACUUUGAAAUCUUAGCUGAGUGAUAUAAGGAUUGAUUGCACAUAUAUAAUCCUUUAGACAUAAACCGUUGACCAAGUCUGGGACUAGGAUUGGAUCCAGCCGCACCUAGACUCCUCCCUGAGAAGGAGUUUGGAAAGCAAGGGGGUCCUUUCUGAACCUCAUGACUCAACGGGAGGGUCUCCCUGACAGCUUGUCUGACCCUGGCCUCUAUGCAGUAAAUAAUCAAGUGUACCCUGGCAUCGAAUCUCGUAAAACACUGUCGCAUUCACUACUAACUUUGUUAAAUCACUGUUUUAUGUUAAUAAACAUUUCACUACUCUCUUACAAGUGAAGUUAUUCACUCCGCCCGCGACACUGGCCUUUAUUUCUGUACUCUGUAGCAUUAUGUUAGAGUCAUAAAUCUAUCAUUCUACACAGAAUAACUACUUAUUUUUAACAUCUAUAUAAAAACUGUGGUUGCACCAUACAAAACAAAAAUAAAAGAAAUUAGCCAGAGUCUCCUGUCAUUAGAAAAAUUGUUGUUACAGCUAAAUCAAGUAAAAACAAAGCUCCAAGAAGAUGAGGGGAAGUUCAGACAAAGCACAUAUGAUAAGCCUCUGUCCUGAGGUCCUGUUAGCUCAGGACAAAGCCCGUGGACUGUUACUAGCCAUAGCUAUACAGCUGCAGCAUUGUCACUAGUAUUACUGGGCUACGUGCUGUUCAUUACCUUCCAAUUCUGGAUUAACACCGGUAUGUUGCAUACUGUAUGUAGCAGCAGAGGUAAAUACGUCCCCAAAGGGCAUGGGAAAGAAGCAGGAACACUGUUGACUGGAAAAUAAGCAAUUGCACCUCAACUCAUUAGUUUUAUGAGCACAGUUCAUAGUCCACGCGCGCUUGGCUUCCACACAACUGGGUGUGCACCCUGCAAACAAGGUCACAAAAACCCAAUAUAACAAUUACUGUGCGACAGCUGAAUUGGAGGCCACACUAGAAUAGCAUAACGAUGACUCCUGAUUUUAUAGUUUAUUUCAAGGAAGCAGGGAAUAUUAAGUACCUUCCAAUAGAUAUUCUCUAAGUAUAGCACAGAAUAAUUAUUUGAGCUUUUGUCUAGUCAUAGAAUAGAAACUAUUUAAAGCAGUGUCAGGUCAUCUGUUUUAAGCGUAUAUUCAUGGCAGAAAAAAAUAUUUUUAAUCAAUUUUUUCAUCAGUAUAGUCCAUCAUGUUAUUCAGAAAUGGCUUUUUUCAGUAAAUGGAUUGUGGAUCAAUAGUAGAUAUAAAUAAAGCAGUAGAAAGGGCACAGCAUUCAACAAGCUGCCAGUCAUUGGUGCAGAAGACAGCAGAAAUCAGCAUCCCAAGAUGGAUACGGAAAUAAAUCACAAAUGGGCAGAUAAUACACAAGGAUGCCACCUUUUUACAGAAACUCCAGAGUUCUGUCUUGUCCCAAGAACCACUGAAAUAUAUAAAUUUCAACACUUAUAAAUACUUAAAGGGUGGGUGUCAGGAGGAUGGGGCCGGGCUCUUUUCAGUGGUGCCCGGGGACAGGACAAGAGGUAAUGGGCACAAACUUGAACAUAGGAAGUUCCAUCUAAACAUGAGGAGGAACUUCUUUCCUUUGAGGGUGGCAGAGCACUGGAACAGGCUGCCCAGAGAGGUGGUGGAGUCUCCAACUCUGGAGACAUUCAAAACCCGCCUGGACGUGUUCCUGUGUAACCUGCUCUAGGUGACCCUGCUCUGGCAGGGGGUUGGACUGGAUGAUCUCCAGAGGUCCCUUCCAACCCUAUGAUUCUAUGAUUCUAUGAUUCUAUGAUAUGUAAGUUUUUAUGUAUUCACUAAACACUUUGAGGCUCACCCCUCUUAGAAUUUGCAGAGCUCUUGAAAUACAGAGGCUGAAUUGUCAAGCUGCCAAAGAUCUUUCUGGAGCCAGGAAAAAAGAAAAAAUUAAAACCUGCAGACUUUGUAUUAUACCCCACAGGAUCAAUUCUUGAGGUAUACUGAAUACCUGCAAUUCCUGUAAGGUCAGUGAAAAGUGGUAUUACUCAGCACUUUUUUAGUGUUUGGCCUCCAACAGAAGGAGGAAUAAAAAAAGUUUUUUAAGCACACAGGUCAUAAUGAAUUUGUAUUAGUUAUUCACAUCAGGACAAUCUUACUUAAUUGUCGCUAGUAAGAACUUAGAAUAUGACUCAUAUUGCGUCUAUCAUAACUGUUAAUUAUUAAUGAAUAAAUGUCAUUUGGGACCUAGCUAAUAUUUCCACGCCACUUGUGUGAAUAGUUGUUUUCAACCGUGAGAGUGCCGAUUGCCAGGAAUUCAACAUCCUUAGGUAUUUCUUAAUUAUUUACCAUACAUUAUGUUAAUCUGAAAAAUCUCAUUACACUCUUGUCAAAACUAUGAGCUUUGUAUCUGUUAAAAAAAUGUGAUUCUUGUGGCAUAGUUUGAGCCUGCAGAUUACACAUUCUGUUAGGUGUUUUUUUUAAAUAAAGGUAAGGACAGAAUAUUUGUAACUACUGACUCACAAUUUAAGAUUGCACAAACUGGCACUCUCACUAACCACUAGGUUUUCCUCUUUUCCAGAAGAAAAGGUUUUCCUCUUUUCCUCUUUCCUCCAUCUUUUCCAGAAAAAAAUAUUAUUUAAGUGGGAAUUCUGAAUAAUUACUGCAAAUUGUCUAAUUUCACUUUGAACCCUUCUAAAUUACUGACUUCAAAACCCAUGAUGCUGCAGCAGAAGAGAAACUUGACUCGCGAGAUGAAUACACUUGAAUCAUUUUGUAAUUUGCCACAUUUUAAUAUAGCUGUUCUGUUCUUACUGCCUUACAAGGCAGAAUUUCCCAUUAUAGCUUCUUAACGCCAUCUGUUAAUCAUGUUUAUCACAGCACUGCAUAGGAGGUCAGCUGGGAAGGGGGCCCCAAAUGUGCCAUCACUCU